rnacentral:misc_RNA from 1 species
AACAUCGCGCACCUGCGGGAACCUGCGGAGGGAUCAUUACAAGAGAGUUAGCAAUAACUCAUAACCCUUUGUGAACAUACCUUUCUGUCAGUUGCUUCGGCGGGAGGCCUUCCCCGGAAGGGGGGGCCGACCGCCGGAGGGACGCACCCCAAACUCUUGCUGUACCACAGUGGCACGUCCGAGUCAAAACAAACAAACAAAUCAAAACUUUUAACAAUGGAUCUCAGAUCGGAAGAGCAC